UACGUAGGGUGCAAGCGUUAAUCGGAAUUACUGGGCGUAAAGCGUGCGCAGGCGGUUAUGCAAGACAGAUGUUAAAUCCCCGGGCUUAACCUGGGAACUGCAUUUGUGACUGCAUCGCUGGAGUGCGGCAGAGGGGGAUGGAAUUCCGCGUGUAGCAGUGAAAUGCGUAGAUAUGCGGAGGAACACCGAUGGCGAAGGCAAUCCCCUGGGCCUGCACUGACGCUCAUGCACGAAAGCGUGGGGAGCAAACAGG
rnacentral:rRNA from 1 species